rnacentral:rRNA from 1 species
AAGAGUUUGAUCAUGGCUCAGAUUGAACGCUGGCGGCAGGCCUAACACAUGCAAGUCGAGCGCGAAAGUCUUCGGAUGAGUAAAGCGGCGAACGGGUGAGUAAUGCAUGGGAAUCUGCCUGGUAGUGGGGGACAACGUCUCGAAAGGGACGCUAAUACCGCAUACGCCCUACGGGGGAAAGGGGGGGAUCUUCGGACCUCUCGCUAUCAGAUGAGCCCAUGUCAGAUUAGCUAGUUGGUGAGGUAAAGGCUCACCAAGGCGACGAUCUGUAACUGGUCUGAGAGGAUGAUCAGUCACACUGGAACUGAGACACGGUCCAGACUCCUACGGGAGGCAGCAGUGGGGAAUAUUGGACAAUGGGGGCAACCCUGAUCCAGCCAUGCCGCGUGUGUGAAGAAGGCCCUAGGGUUGUAAAGCACUUUCAGUGGGGAGAAAGGUUAUUCACCUAAUACGUGAGUAGAUUGAUGUUACCCACAGAAGAAGCACCGGCUAACUCCGUG